rnacentral:rRNA from 1 species
CCUACGGGUGGCUGCAGUGGGGAAUAUUGGACAAUGGGCGCAAGCCUGAUCCAGCCACGCCGCGUGAGUGAUGAAGGCCUUCGGGUCGUAAAGCUCUGUGGGGAGGGACGAACCGCUGUCGGUUAAUACCCGGCAGCAUGACGGUACCUCCUUAGCAAGCACCGGCUAACUUCGUGCCAGCAGCCGCGGUAAUACGUAGGGUGCAAACGUGGCUGGGAAUUAUUCGGCGUAGGCCUAACAAGUGCGGCGUGAAAGCCCUCGGCUUAACCAAGGAAGUGCAUCCAAAACUGCUGAGCUUGAGUAGUUAAGAGGAUCGCGGAAUUCCCGGUGUAGAGGUGAAAUUCGUAGAUAUCGGGAGGAACACCAGUGGCGAAGGCGGCGAUCUGGGAACAUACUGACGCUGAGGUGCGAAAGCGUGGGGAGCAAACAGGAUUAGAUACCCCAGUAGUC